rnacentral:rRNA from 1 species
UACGGCUGGUGCAAGCGUUGUCCGGAUUUCUUGGGUUUAAAGGGUGCGUAGGCGGCUUUUUAAGUCCGGGGUGAAAGCCCGUUGCUCACCAACGGAACUGCCCCGGAAACUGGAGAGCUUGAGUACAGACGAGGGCGGCGGAAUGGAGGGUGUAGCGGUGAAAUGCAUAGAUACCCUCCAGAACACCGAUUGCGAAGGCAGCUGCCUAGACUGUAACUGACGCUGAGGCACGAAAGCGUGGGGAGCGAACAGG